rnacentral:lncRNA from 1 species
UUCUCACACAACGAUGUCCUAGUUUAUUAAAACAAGAAAUCAUCAAUACAUGGAAAAUACCAUUCAACUGCAUAUACAUGAUCAAUAUAUAACAUACAGUGGGUCUGGAAUUAUUGACACCCUUGAUAAAGAUAAUAAUGACUGAAUAAAAUACAUCAAUAUAUAAAAUACAGUGGGUCUGGAAUUAUUGACACCCCUGAUAAAGAUAAUAAUGACUGUAUAAAUAAAUAAUUUAAAUACUGAGCUCUAUCAUCUGCUCAACAACAUGUGUCAAUUAUAUUAUUUUAUGUUAAUACGGUUGAUCUGAUUUAAAAUAUUUUGUUUAACAAGUAAUAUUUAUUUUCUAAAUUAUUGACCCCCCUAUAGAUUCUAAAGGUAUAAAUUAUUGACCCCCCUAUAGAUUCUAAAGGUCUAAAUUAUUGACCCCCUAUAGAUCCUAAAGGUCUAAAUUAUUGACCCCCUAUAGAUUCUAAAAGUCUAAUUUAUUGACCCCCUAUAGAUUCUAAAGGUCUAAAUUAUUGACCCCCCUAUAGAUUCUAAAGGUAUAAAUUAUUGACCCCCUAUAGAUUCUAAAGGUCUAAAUUAUUGACCCCCUAUAGAUUCUAAAGGUCUAAAUUAUUGACCCCCUAUAGAUUCUAAAGGUCUAUAUUAUUGACCCCCUAUAGAUUCUAAAGGUAUAAAUUAUUGACCCCCUAUAGAUUCUAAAGGUCUAAUUUAUUGACCCCCCUAUAGAUUCUAAAGGUAUAAAUUAUUGACCCCCUAUAGAUUCUAAAGGUAUAAAUUAUUGACCCCCUAUAGAUUCUAAAGGUAUAAAUUAUUGACCCCCUAUAGAUUCUAAAGGUCUAAUUUAUUGACCCCCUAUAGAUUCUAAAGGUCUAAAUUAUUGACCCCCUAUAGAUUCUAAAGGUCUAAAUUAUUGACCCCCUAUAGAUUCUAAAGGUCUAAAUUAUUGACCCCCUAUAGAUUCUAAAGGUAUAAAUUAUUGACCCCCUAUAGAUUCUAAAGGUAUAAAUUAUUGACCCCCUAUAGAUUCUAGUAAUUAAAGUAGUCAGGAGGUCAGUAUUUGGUUCUAUAGUCAUAGUAAUGACAUCAUCAAACUCCUGGAGAUUUUGGGCUGUCAAUCAUUUUGACCCCUAACUUAAAAAAUAUAUAUAUUUCUCUCAGCAAUUGUAUUAGUUUAAAAUAAUAUAAUUAGUUUAUAAUAAUAUACUAUAAUUUAUGUUGAGCAAUAGGUCAGUAUUUGAUUUAUUUAAUAUAGUCAUUAUUGCUAAUCUUUAGCAAGGAUGUCAAUAAUUUCUGACCCCUCUGUAUAUUCUCAAGGCGAAUAUUAAAAAAGUAGAGCAAAAAUAAACACUUCACAAAGUUAAAUAAAAAACUGGCACAUUGACAUGAAGCUACAAUAGAAGCUGACAGGUUGAAGCUACAAUAGAAGCUGACAGGUCGAAGCUACAAUAGAAGCUGACAGGUAGAAGCUACAAUAGAAGCUGACAGGUUGAAGCUACAAUAGAAGCUGACAGGUUGAAGCUACAAUAGAAGCUGACAGGUUGAAGCUACAAUAGAAGCUGACAGGUUGAAGCUACAAUAGAAGCUGACAGGUUGAAGCUAAAACAGAAAUAUAAACAUUUCAACAAAUGGUUUUAUCAGUCUUGUUCACAGGAGGCUGCUGAGGGGAGGAGCCUCAUUAUAACGUCUGGAACGGAGCCAAUGGAACAGCAUCAAACAUGGAAACCAUGGAAACCACAUGUUUGAUGUAUUUGAUACCAUUCCACUGAUUCCUCUUCAGCCAUUACCACGAGCCCCUCCUCCCUAAUUAAGGUGCCACCAGCCUCCUGUGGUCCUGUUGAUAUACCUGUGAUUAUCAGGUACUGGACAUAAGAGGGUCUGUAACAGAUUCUAACAGGAGACCUUAGUCCAUCGUUCCAUUCAAUUCAACACUAUCAAUACCUGAGGGGGAUUAGAAAGACAUUGUUUAUGGGGAACACAUAUAUAGAAUAACCAGGAAAUGGAUAUAAACCCAUAAUACAAACAUGGGUAGUAAAACUUCUAAAAGUAAAGAACUAACUACUGGAAGUGGAUUAUAGAGGAGUGACCAACACGUUGAUCAGAGGACUCUGUCUCACCAAGAUUCAUAUCACUCAGUUAUAUACUCAGAAACUCAGCUUUGUUAGGUGGGAUAGGUCUCUAUAGAAAGUUACUGUCUCUCUAUAGUAACUCAGCUCUAUAGUUAUAGUCUCUCUAUAGUAACUCAGCUCUAUAGUUAUAGUCUCUCUAUAGUAACUCAGCUCUAUAGUUAUAGUCUCUAUAGUAACUCAGCUCUAUAGUUAUAGUCUCUCUAUAGUAACUCAGCUCUAUAGUUAUAGUCUCUCUAUAGUAACUCAGCUCUAUAGUUAUAGUCUCUCUAUAGUAAAUCAGCUCUAUAGUUAUAGUCUCUCUAUAGUAACUCAGCUCUAUAGUUAUAGUCUCUCUAUAGUAACUCAGCUCUAUAGUUAUAGUCUCUCUAUAGUAACUCAGCUCUAUAGUUAUAGUCUCUCUAUAGUAACUCAGCUCUA